rnacentral:rRNA from 1 species
UACGUAGGUGGCAAGCGUUGUUCGGAAUUAUUGGGCGUAAAGGGCGCGUAGGCGGCUUGUUAAGUCGGCUGUGAAAGCCCGGGGCUCAACCCCGGAGGGUCAGCCGAUACUGGCAGACUAGAGUCCGGAAGAGGCAAGUGGAAUUCCCGGUGUAGCGGUGAAAUGCGCAGAUAUCGGGAGGAACACCAAUGGCGAAGGCAGCUUGCUGGGACGGUACUGACACUGAGACGCGAAAGCGUGGGGAGCAAACAGG